rnacentral:rRNA from 1 species
GACGAACGCUGGCGGCGUGCUUAACACAUGCAAGUCGAACGAAGUGGCGGACGGGUGAGUAACGCGUAAUCAACCUGCCCUUCAGAGGGGGACACCAGUUGGAAACGACGGCUAAUACCGCAUACUGAAGGGGGGGAUUGCGUCUGAUUAGCUAGUUGGAGGGGUAAUGGCCCACCAAGGCGAGGAUCAGUAGCCGGGCUGAGAGGAUGACCGGCCACAUUGGGACUGAGACACGGCCCAGACUCCUACGGGAGGCAGCAGUGGGGAAUCUUCCGCAAUGGACGCAAGUCUGACGGAGCAACGCCGCGUGAGUGAUGACGGCCUUCGGAUUGUAAAACUCUGUUGUUAGAGAAGCGGUAUCUAACCAGAAAGCCACGGCUAACUACGUGCCAGCCGCCGCGGUAAUAC